UCAGCUCCAGCUCCUCCACCCCACUCCCUGAACAGCACUGCAGAACUGUGCUAAGCUCCUGUGGCUUGGAAAGAACAGAUGCAAGAGACAUAGUAAAUGCCUCCAAAUAACUUAGUCCUCAACCUGAAGCCAAAGUGAUUUCGGUGUACCAGGAUUGAAAUACUUCUGUAUUCACAACUGAAUGGAUAAACGGGCACUCCUUGUGGCUCCUCAUUGUAUGUCCCCUAGAGGGUCAGCAAGGCCAAGAAUUGGUUUGUGGAACAAAUAUCCAUUACUCCAAUCGGGGAUGAAAAAGAGUACACGCCAUGGAUUUUGCUCUCGGGAGUGAUUGAUUCAGCGAGUGAAAUAAGACCAACAUGCAUGGAAGGGUUGAUGAUGCUAGAAUCUCCCACACUUUGCCAGCCACAGGGAAGUCAAAUCAGUAUUGACUUUGUUAUUCAAAUCAGCACCAGACCGGUCACUUUUAGAAGUGAUACCAUGGGAGGCAAUUAAACCCAGGAAAAUGCUGAGCACUAGAGUGACCAUGCAAGAAGGGGCCUUAGAGAUAGAUCCUGUACGUCUUCACCUGUUGGUGCCAGGGCCAGAACAGAGGCCUGCAAGGGUAAGAGCAAGCU
rnacentral:lncRNA from 1 species